GCUACGUCUGUUGGAUUAUGCCUGAACGCCUCUAAGGCCGUAACCAAGCUGGUAUGUAAUAACAUUAAUGGGGCAUUUAUAUGCAAUACAUCAGGUUUCUAUAUUCCAUUACAUACAUAUCUCUCGAGAUGUGUUUAUGGACAGAACCGAAGUUACUGAUGAUGCUUAAUAUUAACUAAUAAGUGAUUCUACUUAUUAGAUUAUGCUAUCAUCAUAGUAACAUUAUAUAUUGUAUUUGCCCAGAAUCAAUUGUAAACGACUUUGGUAGAGUAGGGUGCCGCAAGUGUUAGAGCAGCUGCCAUACUGCGAUUCACUCAGGCAUAUCCCUAUCUCGAUGAUUCGC
rnacentral:ncRNA from 1 species